rnacentral:rRNA from 1 species
UGAGCAAUCUGCCCUUCUCAUCGGAAUAAGCGUUGGAAACGACGUCUAAUGCCGAAUACGACCUCCUUUCGCAUGAUCGGAGGUGGAAAGCUCCGGCGGAGAAGGAUGAGCUCGCGGCCUAUCAGCUAGUUGGUGUGGGUAAUGGCCCACCAAGGCGACGACGGGUAGCCGGCCUGAGAGGGUGACCG